CCUUCAUCCUUCCCAGUAUGUACUGGGAUGAGGCCAGUUGGCCUCCGUCCUUCCCAGUAUGUACUGGGAUGAGGUCAAUGGGACUCCAUUAUUCCCAGUAUGUACUGGGGAGGGGUAAUGGGGCCUCCAUCCUUCCCAGUAUGUACUGGGGAGGGAUAAUGGGGCCUUCAUCCUUCCCAGUAUGUACUGGGAUGAGGCCAAGGGGCCUCCAUUGUUCCCAGUAUGUACUGGGGAGAGGUAAUGGGGCCUCCAUCCUUCCCAGUAUGUACUGGGGGAGGUCAAUGGGCCUUUAUUAUUCCCAGUAUGUACUGGGGAGGGGUAAUGGGGGCCUUCAUCCUUCCCAGUAUGUACUGGGAUGAUACUGGGAUGAGCCCAGUUGGCCUCCACCCAUCCCACAAUGCACCGGGGCUCGCCCCACCCUUCCCAGCAUGCCCCGCGCCCCCCCCCCCCCCCCUCCCCCCCCCCCCCCCUUUUUUUUUCCCAGCAUGCACCGGGGCAGGCCUAGCCCAGGCCCGAGCCUGAGGCUUAGGCCCGCGGCUCGGUACCGGUGGGCGGGCCCUCGGCGCCCGUUGGGCCGCAGGUGCUGGUCCACCACGGAGACGCGCUCGCCCAGCACGGCCGCCACGUCGAACGGGAACUCCAUGGCCCCGUUAUCGGUGCCGCCGCAGGGCCCGGCCUGGCCCCGGGCCUCGUCGGUGCCGCCGCCGCCGCCAGGCCCAGGCCCGGCCCUUAGCAACCGCCCUUAGCAACAGGCCACGCCCCUCCCGGAGCCAUCGGGCCAAUCACAGGCCGCCCUUCGUGAGGCAAGCCACGCCCCUUAGCAACCAAGUCCCGCCCCUAGCAACGCCUUAGCAACAAGCCCCGCCCCUUAGCAACCAGCUCAACUCCUAUUGGCCCUUUACCAAAUAAGCCCCGCCCCCUAGCAACCAAACCCCGCCCCUUAGCAACCAUCCUGGACCCCUAUUAGCCCUGUACCACUAAGCCCCGCCCCUUAGCAACCAUCCUGGACCCCUAUUGGCCCUUUGCCACUAAGCCCCGCCCCUUAGCAACCAUCCUGGACCCCUAUUGGCCCUUUGCCACUAAGCCCCGCCCCUUAGCAACCAUCCUGGACCCCUAUUGGCCCUUUGCCANNNNNNNNNNAUAAGCCCCGCCCCUUAGCAACCACCUCGGACCCCUUAGCAGCCCUGUACCACUAAGCCCCGCCCCCUAGCAACCCCUUAGCAACAAGCCCCGCCCCUCGCAACCCCCCCCCCACCCCCUCCCCCCCUCCACCCCCCCUCCACCAAUCCCCGCCCCUUAGCAACCAUUUAUUAACCAAUCCCCACCCUUCGCGGCAAGCCCCACCCCUUAGCAACCGCC
rnacentral:lncRNA from 1 species